rnacentral:rRNA from 1 species
CACGUAGGGGCCGAGCGUUGUCCGGAGUUACUGGGCGUAAAGGGCGCGCAGGCGGUCGUUCGCAUCACCGGUGAAAGCCCCGGGCUUAACCCGGGAGGGUCCGGUGAGAUGGGGCGACUGGAGGCAGGGUGAGGCCGGUGGAAUUCCGGGUGUAGUGGUGAAAUGCGUAGAGAUCCGGAGGAACACCAGUGGCGAAGGCGGCCGGCUGGACCUGACCUGACGCUGAGGCGCGAAGG